rnacentral:lncRNA from 1 species
AGACAACAACAAACCCAGUAUAUUCGCACAAGUGGGGCCUGGGAGAGUUGUAUAGAACACUUUUUAAAGGGCAAUACUUGGAAGGUUUGAUCCUUAUCAAUAAAAUAACAAUAUACUUGGAAGCAGUGAUAGCUAAAAUACCUAUGUGUGCAUUUUUUGUCUAAACCCUUUUCGGGGUGGUGGUGAAUUCUGCAGAUCAUGAUCGUUCUAUUAGCAGUGACAGCUAACAUACCUAUGCAUGGGUGUCAUUUUUGCAGAAACCCUUAUUGGUAGUGGGUUCUCUGUCUUUUUAGCAUGUGCUAUCUAAAGGAUAUUUGAGGUUGAAUUCGUCGUUUUGCUGCUUGGCUGUGGGAAGGCAAAUGGUAUUUGGAGGAAUAGACAAGGCAUGAUUUUCUUCUUGAUGAAGUGUAGAACGGGGUUGUCUUUCCAUUGAGCCGGGGAGACAAUCCAAAUCGUAAUCAGUGUUCAUUAUUUGAUUGAGCACGAUGUGGUCUGCUAGUCGCGUUAAACCAUUCAAAAGAGUUUUGUCAGCCCCCAAAAGUGCUUUCCUUCUCGCGGAAAGAAGAUGUUUAGUUUUUUUGUCUAUCUCCUUUACCUAUCAUAUGGUGAGUGUCUAAAUUAGAAAGUUUUAAGAAUUCAACUUUGGUCCCUUCUUUAAGUCUUCUGAAGUCCAAUUCGGAAAGCGUUGGAAUAUGUUUAUAUCUGAACAUGGGUAUAUCAGUAUUAAUCAUCUAGAAAUAUUGCAGCUCUAUACUGCAAACUGUUUGCCUCCCCCGUUCUUUCCCAACUCCUUAGUGUAGAUAGGAAAAUCUUUUUGGAUUCUGAUACUCUUAAGGUAAAAUUGCUCUGUUUCCUUAUGGUGUUCCAUGGAUUAGGUUUACAGAUACUUACGUGUGGAUGUAGCUCUGUGACAGAACAUGCGGGUGCAGCCACUACUUUUGGCUUCAAUUUAUAUGUUUAUAUCUAUCGUUACCAAAGAAUAGUGGAAACAGUGAUAUCACUAGUUUAAACUAAACUCGCCUGUAACUUGGAUGCGAUGGAAACUUAUGGAUCGUUUUGUUCAGACUAAUUUAGAUUAUAUUACAUGGAUCUUAUGGUGAAUAACAAUACAUAGAUUGUUAUGCGGUGGAUAAUAAUACGGGAUUGUUAUGAUAUUAAAGCCAAGAAUUAUCUUAUUAUUACACAUUCUCAUUUCACCAUUUUUUCCUUCUAUAAAAUAAUACAAUGAUUCUCACUUAAGUUAUACAGGUACUAGUAAUCGGAGAUUAACAUUGAGGAGUUGUAUGCCGGAAACCAAACGAUAUACUUAUAAAGCGAAGUUUAAUUAAUGCCUUGAUUGUUUUAUUAUAUGAACAGACUAGCCCUUAUGGUUUUAAGCCUUUUUCUAAUCAAAUUUUUAACUACCUGCUAGGCCUCAGUUUCCAUCUCUUUUAUAUCUUGACGUCUGCUUUAGAUACAACCUCAUUAAUUUCCUCAUAAAUUGCAGAUUGUUAUAAAUUGCAGAUUGUUACACUUGAAUUUGAGGCUCCUCCAAAUCCCCCAUUUUGCAGCUUGGUGGAGUGCUGGGGUUAUUGAGAGAACAUGUAGAGAAUAUAAUACUGCACUUAUUCUUAGGUUCGGAUAUAAGAGAUUCAAAUAUUUUAUUUUCUGUGAGGACGGUUUUUGUAGAGAAAGAUUUGAAGA